UGGGGAAUAUUGCACAAUGGGCGCAAGCCUGAUGCAGCCAUGCCGCGUGUGUGAAGAAGGCCUUCGGGUUGUAAAGCACUUUCAGCGGGGAGGAAGGCGAUAAGGUUAAUAACCUUGUCGAUUGACGUUACCCGCAGAAGAAACACCGGCUAACUCCGUGCCAGCAGCCGCGGUAAUACGGAGGGUGCAAGCGUUAAUCGGAAUUACUGGGCGUAAAGCGCACGCAGGCGGUCUGUCAAGUCGGAUGUGAAAUCCCCGGGCUCAACCUGGGAACUGCAUUCGAAACUGGCAGGCUAGAGUCUUGUAGAGGGGGGUAGAAUUCCAGGUGUAGCGGUGAAAUGCGUAGAGAUCUGGAGGAAUACCGGUGGCGAAGGCGGCCCCCUGGACAAAGACUGACGCUCAGGUGCGAAAGCGUGGGGAGCAAACAGG
rnacentral:rRNA from 1 species